rnacentral:RNase_P_RNA from 1 species
GAGAGUAGGCGAGGCGGUUGCAAAUUCUUUUCCAAGAAUUUGAGGAAAGUCCGGGCUUCCCAAAGACCAAACUUGCUGGGUAACUCCCAGUGCGCGCGAGCGUGAGGAUAGUGCCACAGAAAGAUACCGCCAAGUGAUUUUGGAUUGAGGAUUCUAGAUUUUGGGUUAAAUCCAAAAUCGCAAAUCUAAAAAUCUGAAACUUUGGUAAGGGUGCAAAGGUGCGGUAAGAGCGCACCAGCAGCAUCGAGAGGUGCUGGCUCGGUAAACCCCGGUUGGAAGCAAGGCAGUGGAAUUACGGUUGGUCUUUUACCAAUUCCGACUAUGAGCCGCUUGAGGCAUCUGGUAACAGGUGUCCCAGAUAGAUAACUGCCGUCUAAGAUAGAGAUGCUAUUGUAGUCUCUCUAUUGGAGAUAACAGAACCCGGCUUAUGUCCGACUCUCUCAU